GGCUGGCAGGCGAGCGAGGGCGGCAUGCGGGCGUCCUGCGUGCUGCUGGCCGCGCUGGCGGCGCUGGCCGCCUACUACGUGUACAUCCCGCUGCCCGGCUCCGUGUCCGACCCCUGGAAGCUGAUGCUGCUGGACGCGACCUUCCGGGGCGCACAGCAAGUGAGUAACCUCAUACACUACCUGGGACUGAGCCAUCACCUGCUUGCACUGAAUUUUAUCAUUGUUUCUUUCGGCAAAAAAACUGCCUGGUCAUCUGCCCAAGUGAAGGUGACAGACACCGAGUUUGAUGGCGUGGAAGUCAGGGUGUUCGAAGGCCCUCGAAAGCCAGAGGAGCCGCUGCAGCGGAGCGUUGUGUAUGUCCACGGAGGAGGCUGGGCCUUGGCAAGCGCAAAAAUCAGAUAUUAUGAUGAGCUGUGCACUGUAAUGGCUGAAGAACUGAAUGCUGUCAUUGUCUCCAUUGAGUCACUGUUUGGAUGCCACCCUUUCAGCCAGGCCUUUCUUGACAAGUAAAGUUGCAACCUGCCUUCCUCUAUUUUCUCUGCAAGGCUGUCAUCAGUGCCUUACAGACCACAUAUUCAACUUAUUAUGUGGGUUUUUUUUCAUGAAAAUCA